AAAGAUCUGUGCUUUACGUACAAAUGACAGCACUGACAUGUGUUUUAAAGAUUUUUUCCUUUUUUUAGCCUGUUGGUUGUUGUUUGGGAAGUGACGGAUUUUGGAGUGGUCAGUGACUCUGUAGGCUCACCGAAGCUAAUGGUUUACUUUUUCUUAUGUGUUACUGAAAAGUCGGUUGCGUUGGAUUUGUCAUUCUGCUGUGUUUUGUGUCAGAGGGGGUUGUGUGUUUGUUUUGUUUCAUUUGGUUGGUUUUUUUUGCUGAUGAAACAGCUGUACAAAUCUAUUAAGCACUGUUUUAUGUUUUCAAAGGGCUGAAUCCGAUGUCCUGUAAUAGUUUAUGGUUCAAUCUGUAGACACAACUUGCUAGAAUCUCCAGUUUUGGAUCCAAAAUGAUGCUGGCUGUUGGGCAGUGCACAAACUGGUUGUUUUUUCAGGUUUGACUUUGAAAGAAAAUGAAUUACCUUAAUGUCACUGCUUGGCCAAAGAAAAGCAUGCCCAGCCAAGAGGCAGAAUUUGUAAGCAUGAAGGGAAAAUAGCUUUCAAUGUGGAAACUGUUGAACUAUAUGUAAGUUUAAUAGAAGUUUGUGUAAAACACCAAGCAAGAUGCUUUGUUGAUGUCCGAGUCCUGUAGAACUCGUGAAGGUGAUUUUGUUAAAGUUCAGAGGUAGAUGAGAUUUGAAGUUCCAGCCAGGACUUUAUUUGCUUGAAUCUGUGAAUGUAACAGAAGAGGGCUUUCAGCCAAAAGUUGUUGCUACGUGACAGAAGUGUCCCUGGAAGUUACCGAUUUGUAGAACAGAAUUUAAAUUUUAUCUUGUCCAUCUACAAGUGAAGGAAUCUCACUGUGCUGCGCAAGUUCUUGAAAUUAAGUAUUUGCUCCCCAGUCAUAGCAUUUUUUAGGGCAAGCAACAUUAGAUUGUUCCCUUGCACCUAAUAUUAACAAAAAAUAAAAGUGCAGCUUUGGCUAGAUCCGCACUUGCCUGCCUGCUCUGCUGCCAGUCUUAAUUUACACCAGGACAUACAAACUGUUCCUGAUUCAUGGCGUCUGGACAGCCUUGUUUAUGCUUGAAGUAAGGAGAAGAGACGAAGCUGUUGCUAUCAAGGAAUAAUUAAGGAAAAUAUACACAUCUAGAGGUGUGUCAGAUCACAGAUUCAAAUGCUGACAGCUAACCUUGUUACAGCAGGAAUACAUUUAAUGCUGAUAAAGACACUGCUGUUCACUGACGUACUCAAGGUUUCUAAGAAGCUGCAUGAUAGCACCACCGGUUUUAUUGCAGGCAUUGCUGCCCUGGCCUUCCCUCCCCAUAAUUAUUUUAUUGUGUUGACUGAGGAACAAAAUGAGCAGUUAUUUGCCUGACAUGGAUUUGUAUCCUCUAUCUUCCUUACCUAUAGCUGGUAGAUAUCAUGGCCAUCCGUUUGUUACUAGUUUCAUUCUGAAACUUAAUUGUCUUAUUUUCCUGUAUGUUUUCUUUCAUUCUUCCAGGAAAAAAAAUAAGUUAUUUGGAAGGUUUUUUUUCCAAGAUUACAAUGAGUUUUGCCUUUGGUUUGCAUUCACUAGAGAUAAAUAGACUUAAUGCUUUCAGUCGGGGAGCACUGAAGUGUAUUGACUUUUCCUGUACAAGCAGGCCACCCAUCCACAAAACCCAGCUACCCUGAGUAGAGAUGGAAGCUGUUCACAUGUUCAGAAUACGCUGCUUCUAAAUGAAUUGAGACUCCUUUUUUAAUUUGCUUACAUUAUUGCCUUGAUAAAAAUGUGAUUUGGAAAGAAGAGUAUGUUACAUUUGGCUCACAAACACUUUAUAAGGCCACUUACACCAUGAAAUAUUAUCUUUACCCUUGCCCUUUGCAAUGAGAGAGGAGAGGCAAGAAUUCAUCAGAUGUUCACAUGGGCAGUAGUUAUGACUAUAACUGGACAAAAUGAGAUCUCUAGCUUUCAAAGACUUUAUUCUGUAAAGUAACCCAGAAAUGGUGAUGAGGAGGGAAAGUCUGUUUGUCAGAGUAGAAUUUAUCACACAGCUGGCACCAAAUAGGGAAGAGGGGAAAAAAUAGGGUGCGAAAAUCCUGGGUCGAGUUAAGAGAGAGCAGGUAAUCCAAAAGGCUGUAUGCAAGUAUAGAGAUUAGUUUGCAGUGUUUGGAGCUCUUACAUACCAAUUGCAUUUGUUUUCCAAAAAAGAAUCCCAGCUAUGGCUGGGAUUUUCAAAGGAGCCUGCACUAAGCUUUCAACUCUUUUGUCAUUUGGUGAUGUUUGGAACAUUAAUCCCUGCAGCAGUUAAUUCUGUAACUGCUGGGUUGUUUUUCUGUACAAUGUCCCCUUUGCCAUUGGUCCGAACUAUGAAAAAAUAACAGAAAUGUCAGAGUAUUUCAUACUACUUAUUUGCGGCCUGUCUCUGUGAUGAGACGUAAUUAUUUUGUUUCCUUGAUGUGCUCUGAACUCAGUCACGGAAGGACCUUGGCCCAGAAGGGCUUGUGUUCCUGAAGCCAAGGCUACAGUGGAAUUCAGACAUUCAAGUCCAAGAGUGAAGUCCUCCAAACCCUGCCUUGUUAGCAAAGUGCCAAACAUAACUGGUAUGUUGGCCAGUGCUUGCACAGAAUUGCUGCCAGUAGAAGAGCCUGAUGCUUCCCUGCCCCUGCCCGAUUUACACUGCCUGCUUUGGAUGGUGCUUUUUGAGGCUGGGGUACACAAAACCUCUGCCUGGGAACUCAAAGGAGCCUGAAUUGGCAGGGAUUUAGAGCAUAUCCAGCACGAUGUGAACAGCAGUUUCCCAAAGUGACUUACUGACUUUGCAUAGCACAGCAGCCUGCACCAGGCACAGGGUAAACCUCUUCUGCCAGCUUCCACUGAGAUUUUUCAGUGACUAGUUGAUCCAGUAGUAUAUUCAGGGGGAAAAAAAGCACCCAAAGUAUAAAAGGAAGAGUUUCCUUCAAGUGAUCAGAUCUACUCUGUUUUGACCCAGGCAAUUUUAUGCCCAUCAGGAAGUGCUGGUUGAUAGCAGUUAGCUAUGCGGACGGCCUGAGCGGAGAAGUACAAAUUUGGUGCCAGGCUGAAUAUUCAUUAGGUCUGGAAUUUUUACCUUCAGCUCAAAGACAAAUCGGAAUGGCCUCAUCUAAGUUCUGUGGAAAAAAAAAAAUAAUAAUAACUUUUUAUUCCUGGGCUGGCUUCAUCAGUGGUAGCAGUAAAUGGCGCUGCUCUAAGAAGUUGGGAGCCAGCAGUUACCAUUAUGUUUUGUUUUGUUUUGAUUUUACCUUUUUAUAGUUGACACUGGCAAAACCACCAGCUUCUUGGAGCACUGCCUGAAGAACUGCUCUCCGCUGUUAUUACCACUAAUGGAACAAAAAUAAUGAUAGCAAGGAAGGGAAACUGUUGGCCAAAAAGCAUAGUCCAGGAGCCUUCCUACCCCACCCUGCACCUGGCAGCGAAGUGUGAGGGCACAAGUACAGCAGCUGCUCCGCUGCUGAACUUAACUGAGGAAAUCUCUCUAAGCAAGCCAAAACACGUUGCUGUUCCAGCCCCUGCCAGGGACCCUAGAUAACAGGAAGCGGAUGGGUUUUUUUGCUCCCCAUGAAAGCAGAACAAACAUGUAGAGGUUAGUUUGACACUUUGGCAUGUUUAUAGCAAAAAGUCAUGUUGCCUGACAGUUCCUAUGGAAACCUUUCUAUAACUGAAUGGCAGAACACUUUAAACUCUCAUAAUUUUUUAAGAACACGUUAGGAAAGCGGAGCUGGCGUUAUGUCCUCCCUGCCAGCUUUCCAUAUUUAACAAGUUGCAGCGUUUUUCAGGACAAAAUAUUGUGGUGGUGGUUCAGGUCUCCAACCUCUACUAGCAGGGAAGAAUCGCUGGCUGCUUUACCACAUCCAAACAAAUAGUUCAUGUGAUGCCUGUCUCGCUCUCAAUACAUACCAGCAAUUCAGUCAUUCAUCUCGAAGAUUUCCUUCAAGCUUAUAAUUAAUUAGCCAGGUCUGUAGGGGCUGUAAAAGAGACGGUAUGGAGAUGAACUGGUUUGCACUAGUGAAUGCUUUAAUUCGGUGUGGGGACUGCACUGUUUUUUAAUGUGAAAUGAUUUCAUGUUUUCCUCUGAAUUACCAGCAUUUGUUUCUGGUUCCUAGAAGACGGGCACUUACGGAGAAGCUGAAGCAGAAUGAUUCCAAACCACGGUCUGUAGCAUAUCAACAGGUCAGCCCAUAAAAACACUCCAGGAAUGAAUGCUGGGUGGGCUGUACCUGCUUUUACUGGAAGCCCGAGGAACAUCACUUAUUUUUUAUACUAAAAUUGCCAAAAUAUACUUUUUCUCAAUAAGUUAAAUCUGAAAUUGAGUCUGGAUGAGGAAAAAUAAAGCCUACGAAGGCAAGAGUGGUGAUUUAAAGCAGGAGGAGAGUUGUUUUAGGAGGAGGUAUUGCAGAGGGUCCAGCCUUCAGGGCCAUUUAUGGAAGAGGACUGGACUAACAGUUGCUUGAUCCUUUCAGUUAUUAUACAAGAAGCUGGAUUUGUUUUGUGGCUUAUUUUGAGUUUUACUAUGCUUUUACUAUCUUUAAAUAUAACCUUCCCGGUGAUUUGCUAAUGAUACGCAUGAAGCAACAAAGGUUAUAAAUUCUACUGCAAAGACCACGAUUCCGAAAAUAGCCCAUUACGCUACCCUGCGGCGUAAUGGUUUCCUCGGAACAGUUACUCGCUUUAUAAGUUGUAGCUCUUACUUCUUUUAUCUUUACUGUUUAUUUGCCGACCACUGUUACAGAAUGGAAACGGCGAUGUUGCUAACCAGUUCUGUUACUGACUUAAUCCAUCAUUCCUAGCGCACUUAGGAGCAGUGCUAUUACCAAGUGUAAUAGCUAUCAAGUCCCACUUCAAAUGUUCAGCUGCAGGCAGAGUUACUCAGCGUGGUUUUGUGUGUGUGUGUGGAAGAAUGUUUCAGGAGUGCAGAAACAUCCCAUUUUUGGUCAUACGCUGCAGUACCUGACAGAUUCCUCUGAACGCGUGAGCUCCGUAUGGUACAGACAAGGCACCCCGAGAGGAGCGCGAGCAAACUGAAAGUCCUUGUUUGUUGUCUGCAUCUCUCAACGAAGCAUGUGGCUGCUGGGAUCUCUGAGGCAAGCUGUUGCCCAUCUGGCAUCUCUUAGACAAGAGGUUGUCACAACUGGCGAGCUGUGAUUUGAUGGACCUGAAGUCUGAUCCUGUAUUACCGCAGUUCCGAAGUGCUCAGAGAACUAAACUUUAAUCGAAAUGCCGCUGGUAUUAAAAUGAGCUUAGCAGCUAAUUGGGAAGACUGACCAUGGCAUAAUGCUCGUCUCAACAAAAUUGCAGUCUAGACAUGCUGAGUUACUCUACUGGUUAACUGGUGAACGAAUUGUACGAGCAAAGCUCAAGACGAUGCAGCAGCUGCAGGGGAGUGUGAUGAAGAUUUUACUUCAUCACCGUGCUGACGGUAUCGGUUGCUUGCUGCGCUGUGCUAGGUUGGUAAUUUGAGAAGAAAUUUCAUUUGUUGCUUAAUGAACCACGCAGUUACUGCGUGACGACGAUACACUGAGAAUGCUGAAUGCAUUCAAAUUCGUUAGGAAAAGGGUGAAAGGAACUCUCGUGGCACCUCUGGUGCGCGUUGGAGGUAACUCAGAUGUGAAAUAAACACGUUGAUUGAGUGCCUCCGUGAGCAUGGCUGAACUAAUUAAUAUUGUUGACACUCAAAUCGACAUCUUUGGGCUUCAAAAUUGUAGUUUCCUAAUGAAACAAAAGAAGUAUCUAGAGGUUGAAACCAUGGGGGUAAUACAGACUAGAGAGAACAGCGUUGUUUACACUUUGCUCACGUGAAAUGGUUCUAGCAAUCGUGGAUUUUAAUGGACGCUGCGAUUUGCAGCAACUGAUGGAUUCCAGACCCUUGUUGCAGGAAAAUGAUUCAAAUUGUUUCAGGUUUUGGAAGGCUGUUUGUAUUUCUCUUUCAUAUAAGAAACCAACUUUCCAAACAGCUUACAGAUACGUUCCCAGUAUGCACCGUACUUGAGAACCUAGCAGAUAUUAAAUCUUCAGCUUUUAUUUUAUCUGCAGGGAUCAGAACCUGUUUGAACGUGGACGCUUACAUCUGAAUGCAUCCGUGAUUCAGAAAGGAUGUUUGUGCCACAAUUCUUUUAAUGCUCUCGCCCCUUAAUAAAUACAUAAAGAAAAGGCUUGUAUUUCUUAAAAGCUGUAAAAGCCUGGGUAAGUUAAUUUUCAGCUUAGAAGAGCUACAAAAGCAACUCCUGUGGAAAAGUGCACUGUUCUUAAUUAACAAGGAAUUUGGUGAGCUACAAAUAAAUUACUGCAAAGUGGUUUAUCUCUGAUAGCAUCAAGCUAGCAACCAACGUUACACUUGCAGAUCACUCUACUUCUCCAGUAUUUAAGGGUUUUUUUUUUGCUUAUGCAGCAAAUUUGAAAGCAAAUGGAAGUUCCUUAGCAAACUGGAGACUUUUUAGAGUGCAAAACAACAUGUAGGGCUUUGCUUGGAAAGCAACAGACAGUAACUAUAUUCAUACAAACAGAUGCGUACGUACAGAAGGAUGAUCUGUAAUCGACAGCAGGAAAUUAAGGGAAGUGCAUACGUGCAUUGGAUUGCUGUCCUCUGCUGCAUGCAGCUGUAUUCCUGGAGACUGUUACCACCUGCGUUUCAUUGUGGGUUGCUCAGCACCACCCUCCUGAAGAGGUUUCUCAGUCCU